rnacentral:piRNA from 1 species
UCUGAGCCAAACAUGAGUGACCAUGGCCCA